ensembl:lncRNA LINC02613 long intergenic non-protein coding RNA 2613
GGGCGCCUGCGCGCCUACCAUGACAAGCCAUUUCAGGCGAGCCGAGCCCCAGAGCCAUGUGUCUGGUGCGCAGUGUUAACAGGGCAGUUAUACCUUUUACAGACAACUGUGGCUCCAAGUCAAGUAUGAACUUACACAAACAGUUUAUAUAACAAGUGGAGGUGUGCGCCUGCGUGCCAAACUUGCUGACUCGUGCAGGCCUGGAUACCCGCCUCAGACUAUUCCUUGACCGAAGCACUUCCAGGGCAGGAAACUGAAGCUCUUGGGAAGGUGGAAGUUGCACGUGGUCUCACAGUCAACUGUGCCAGAAUAGGAGGCCAGGAACCAUCUCUGCUGGAGGAAGACCCACCACGCAUCCCUUCAAGAAUGCCAAGGUCCAGAGCAAGUGCUUCCCUUCUAUGGGCACAGGAGGGCUGUGGGAGCCCACAGAAUGUGCUUCUGGCCAGAGUGGGAUCCCCGAGGAAGAUGUUAAGACCUCUAAUAAUAUUUAAGAGCAAAAUUAGCACAGCUCCAGCCCAUGGGCAAGUUAAGAGACAGGAGUAGUGUCUGUGGAGUGGAGGAAAGCAGAGGCUGCCGCUGACCAUCCUGCAGCCCUCGCUCUGGCUGCUCACAGCUCUCCACCUUCUCUGGACUUCGUCACUUCAGUAUGUGAAACAACCAUUUCAACCAGCUUGGACAAAAGAGAGAAGCCAAGAUGGGGCUGAGAAACCAAUGCAGGCAGGCCCAGGGACCCAGGAGUCAGGGACCAGGUGCUACCAGAUGCUUGCUCCGACUCGUGUUGCUGCUGUCUUCUCUGUGCCUCAACUCUGUCCUCUGUCACUGCAGGCAGCUUCCUCCCAAGGUGAGGUGCCUUGCUUUCCCUUUGCCUUCCACCAGGAUUGUAAGUUUCCUGAGGCCUUCCCAGCCAUGCAGAACGAUCUCCAUGGGAUAACCACAUUGGUUUGUUUAGUAAACACUGAGACCAACUCCACCAUCCAGAGGCCUGACAGACAAAUGGCCUGAGACAGGGCUGGGAAAGUUUUGCUUCUGGUUGGGACUUCAGGAAGAGUUUUGUUUUGUUUUGUUUUCCCCCAAGGGAACAAGCCCUUGAAUCCGGGAGGCCAAGGUUGCGGUGAACCGAGAUUGCGCCAUUGCACUCCAGCCUGGGCAACAAGAGCGAAACUCCGUCUCAAAAACAUAAAAAGUAAAAAA